UACGUAGGGUGCAAGCGUUGCCCGGAUUUAUUGGGCGUAAAGGGCGCGUAGGCGGCUACGCACGUCCGUUGUGAAAUCGCCCGGCUCAACUGGGCGGGGUCGGCGGAUACGGCGUGGCUGGAGCAAGCUAGGGGGCAGUGGAAUUCCACGUGUAGCGGUGAAAUGCGUAGAGAUGUGGAGGAACACCAGUGGCGAAGGCGGCUUUUUGGUCUGUAACUGACGCUGAGGCGCGAAAGCGUGGGGAGCAAACAGG
rnacentral:rRNA from 1 species